rnacentral:ribozyme from 1 species
UUCUAGCUCCGAUGGAGUUAUAUUGGUGUGCGGGGUUGGAGGGUUUGGUCGGUGGGAUGUGAGAACUGGUAUUUUCCAAGCAAAGACACUGAAGUAC